UACGGGGGGUGCAAGCGUUAUUCGGAAUUACUGGGCGUAAAGCGCGCGUAGGCGGCCCUGUAAGUCAGGGGUGAAAUCCCACGGCUCAACCGUGGAACUGCCCUUGAAACUGCGGGGCUUGAAUCCUGGAGAGGGUGGCGGAAUUCCUGGUGUAGGAGUGAAAUCCGUAGAUAUCAGGAGGAACACCGGUGGCGAAGGCGGCCACCUGGACAGGUAUUGACGCUGAGGUGCGAAAGUGUGGGGAGCAAACAGGAUUAGAUACCCUGGUAGUCCACACUGUAAACGAUGGAUACUAGGUGUCGGGGACGUGAUCCUCGGUGCCGUAGCUAACGCAUUAAGUAUCCCGCCUGGGGAGUACGGUCGCAAGGCUAAA
rnacentral:rRNA from 1 species